UGACAGUGGUAGUACAAAGAAUGGUAGG
rnacentral:piRNA from 1 species